rnacentral:rRNA from 1 species
AUACGUAGGUGGCAAGCGUUGUCCGGAAUUAUUGGGCGUAAAGCGCGCGCAGGUGGUUCCUUAAGUCUGAUGUGAAAGCCCCCGGCUCAACCGGGGAGGGUCAUUGGAAACUGGGGAACUUGAGUGCAGAAGAGGAUAGUGGAAUUCCAAGUGUAGCGGUGAAAUGCGUAGAGAUUUGGAGGAACACCAGUGGCGAAGGCGACGGUCUGGUCUGUAACUGACACUGAGGCGCGAAAGCGUGGGGAGCAAACAGGAUUAGAUACCCUGGUAGUCCACGCCGUAAACGAUGAGUGCUAAGUGUUGGGGGGUUUCCGCCCCUCAGUGCUGCAGCUAACGCAUUAAGCACUCCGCCUGGGGAGUACGGUCGCAAGACUGAAACUCAAAUGAAUUGACGGGG